rnacentral:lncRNA from 1 species
GUUUUCUCUAUUCCCCAACUAAUUUUUGGAGAACUUUUUUUUUUUUUUUUUGGUGCUGCUCGUACAGCACCUAGCACACCAAGGGUCCUUCCCACUCAGGCUCCCAGUGCGUCCACAGUACAAAUAUUAUGUCUGCAAGGAGAAGGAGUUCUCAAGUGUUUUGUUGCUCAAAGCAGUAACAAGGAGUAGCUGUUAGUUUAGCUGGUGUCUAAACUAAUGUCUUAAUAACUCACGUUCAGGUUUUGAAACUAAUUGUCAAACUAGAACUGCAUAAAUUAGGGGUGCACACCAUUUACUUAGUUUCAUAAUUUCUUUCUUCCCUAGGUAUGUUUGUUUGCUUCUGUCCCUUGCCCAACUCUUCCCCCAAGCCUGCCUUUUUCUUUCCAAAGUAAAUAACAUUAUUGCUAAAUUUCACUUAUCUAGGGCAGCUGUAUUCUAUCAGCUCAAUACGUUUGUCUUCUAUACAGUUUUCUGUCCAUUAAACAGAAUCUUAAUGUGAGUCACAGCAGUUCAAUUUGGUGUUUCCUGGUUGGAAUAAGAAUCCUCAAAGUUUUGCAGCAGCUGUUCCACAUUAAACACAACUGCACUGGUGUUAAUUCCAGCAUUUUGUGUGUUGAAAAUGCUGCCAGGAAAGCAUGGAUAACAGUUUACAGAAGUCUCCCAGAAGAAGGGUGUGUGUGAGGAUGUGGGGAAAGCAGGGCCUAAGCAGCUCUGUAUCCUUCUUAAAAAACCUAUCUGUCCUGAUGAGCUUGGGGUGGAAUAAAGUUCCUGCCUUUGCUGAGGCUCCUUGGGUCCUCAAACUAUCUACAAGGGGGAAGCUGAGAUUUUGGAAGCCCUGUGAGGAAAGAUUGAGUUUGAAGUGUUAG